UACAUAAAAUUGUAGGUACUUUCAAGAAAUAUAGUUAACUGUAAGUGCUGUAUUAUAAUAAUCUAUCAAAAAUCAAAAUCAUCAGGAUAAUAUUAGGUAUUGAUUUUCAGACAAGAAUUAGAUUACAGUAAUGGUCAAAAGCAUUUAGAUAUUGCUUUGAAAUCUACAGAUAAGUAUUUACAUAGGAAAAUAUUGGAGGAUGAAGCUCUACCUACUGCCUCAGGUUAAUUUAAAUUCUGAAUUGCAACAACAGCAACCAUCAAGAAGGGCACCAUUAAAUGAAUAAUAUACACAUAAGUAUUAUUAUACACAGAAAGAGUAAUGUUAUACACAUAAAUAUUAACAUUUUGUAGUGCAACAACACAAUAAAAAACCAAAAUAUGAACACCAGCAACUAAAACAGGAACCAUUAAAUGAAUAUUAUACACAGCAAUAACAGCAUCAAAUAAUGGAAAUAAUGGACCCUACUGCUCAAAUCAAAAACAAAAUUUCAGCAUUACCACUUUAUUGGUUAUAUCAAUAAAAGAAAUUAUUGAGUUUAUGAGUCUAGAUCCUACAAGCAAGCAGAUCUAUCAAAUAAUUUAAAAUGAAGAUUUAUCUAUUAUAGUAAUUUAUUCUAAUAACGAAAAAGAAACUUUGGAUCAAAAAAUAUUUUCUUGUGAUGAGGUUUAUGAAUAUUAAAGUCUGUUGGAAGUUUGGCCAUUAUGUGUUGGUAUACAAUUUAUUUAUGAUGUUACAGUAGUUAAACCAUCCGAGUACAAAACAUGUUUAAAAUCCACUAUUCUUAAUGAAUGGCAACUACCAACUUGAGAUGAAGCUAAGAGAAAGGUUCUAUUGGGUGGACUACAAGGAAAAGGGACAUAUACAUGAGGAUCUAAGGAAGGGCUAUAACAUUACGUCUCAAGCCAUGGAACAAUAAGAAAC
rnacentral:lncRNA from 1 species